AUUGUCCAUCUGCCUACCUGUAUGCGGAGGUGGGCUUUUAUGGGGACAUUGCGAACUCGGGGAUUCUCUGUCGUAAUGCCCUGUGAAAUCCCAAAUGCGCACACAAACAUACAACACGGUACAAG
rnacentral:precursor_RNA from 8 species